CGGCCCCGCUCCCGCCCCUUAAAGGCGCGGCUUGGUUCAAUACUUGGCAGCCAGAGCUCGACCAAGCAGGGCGAAAAUGACUCAGGGCUGGGGAAGAAAUGCAGAAGGAUUCACUCAGAAACUUAAGAACGGGAGUUGUUUAAGGCCCUGCUCCUGCGUCCAUCUCUAAAAUGCAGAUUUGAAACUGGAAUUGCUGUUGGGGGCACUGAGGAUAAAAUCAUCUGUGAUUCUGUGAUUUCAAAUUAGAUAAACAACAAAAAUCUUACCGUCAUGGAUUUUGGUGCCACUUCAACAGCAAAAACCAGCAUAGCUCCCUCUUACGUCUGAAGUGCAAAAAGACAGUUCUGUAGCUGCUCUGCUAACCAUAUUCAUAGGAAAAGAAGAGGAAAGCACUACUCAUCAAGAAAUCGCUCGCCAUGAUCUCAAGAUUUUCACUGAGAAGCCAGCUGAAGUCUCUCCACCACUAACCAAGUAUUUUUAGGUCUAUAUAUAUUUGUUUUCGGUACAUAUAUUUUUAUAUGGUGAUUACAUAACUACAUGGUCCUAAAUUGCUUUAGUUUAACAAAAGUUAAAGAAAAUAUGGUAAGACUAUGAUAAAUAACACCAACAAAUC